GCUCUUCUGAUUCUGGAUGUGGGCUACAGUUGUGUGAUCACGCCCACAUAUCACAGUUUCGAUGACUGUGUCUUCAAAUAUGUUUUUCUGCUGCUGAUGAACCGAGGAGGAAAUGUGUGAUUUGAAGACUGCAGAUCUGGAAGUUUUCCUGCACUGAUCCCUGAACAUAAUUUGACACAGUGGGAAUAUGACAGCUGACUUUUCAUCACUGAAGAGAAAUUGAGACAAAGAUGAAAUCACCUGCCAACAGUACAAUGUCCUCCACAGAGUGGAGCAGCUUCUGAGACAGCCUGAAAGCAGGUGUGGAGUCAAAGGUGACCGAGCAGUUCUCCAGUGGAGAGGAAAAAUGGAAAAACAACAAAAAAUGUCUCCUUCAGUUUUUCCAAGAAAGGUCCAUUCUUGAAGGAACAACUAAAUUGUGAUCCCCAUCUGGCAGCCUAUGAAAUCCAGAGUUCCAACAACAAGGUGCCAUCUGUUGCUUCUUACUGGAAAUUUGAGUAGCAGCAACAGUUAAUUUGUUGCUUAUGUUUAUU